rnacentral:lncRNA from 10 species
GUGAUUGCUGUCUGAGUUAGUUGGGAGACAUUUAUGAGGUUCCUGUGAGGCAUAAUAAGGAAUGGCUUCUCUUGGUCUAUGUUGGACACUGGAAAUGCAUGUGAGGCUCUUCCUGCUGCCACUUCCACUUUUAGAUUCCUCACCACUCUCUAAAUCAGUUCUAGUGCUGGGUAGGGCUUUCCCCCAUGGCCUGGUUUUCCAGGUUCUCCUUUGAGGGUGUAUAUCCUGGAGGCAGUCUCUCCCUCUCUCAAACUCUGGGACUUACAGUUUUUCUCCCGGCUCAAGAUAUAGGCGAAGCCUGCAACUUCUUUCAAAGUGUCUCUGGAUUUCAGUUUUCCUGUUAUGUUCCUGCAUUGCUUCUUGGAACAAAAGUUCACAGUUAAAUAUCUAAAACCUACUUUUUCUUCCCAAGUGGGAGAGGCCUGCUGACGCUCCCUCUAAUCCAACAUCUUGGACUGGCAAAGAGUUAAGGCCUUAAUGACGUAGGUCACAAGAUGUACAUUGCUGGCCUCAGCUGGAUUUUCCCAGGGUCAGGUGCCCAUUCCUACCUAAUCAAAGGACACUUCUGCUGACCUGCACCUAGAAUACCCUGUUCUGUGCUGAUGACUCAGAUGUAAGAAUGAUGAAGUGCAUCGGCUGGCAUGCAGAGAACAAUAAGAAAAAGAACUGAGUUGUGGGAAGACAUGAGGAAAGGACAUGAGGCUCUUAAUAACAGCUGCCAAGUACUGCAGUCGGGAAUCUGGAGCAAAGUGAUUCAAUUCUGACCACUGCCUGUGAGUAAAUGGGAUUUUAUUUUUCAAUACUUUUGUUUAAUAGUACCUCCUUCAUUACAUGUGAACAGCACUCCAGGACAGUAAAUCAUGAAAUGGGAAUAAAGCCUGUAAUUUUAAUUAACAUAUUUUAAAAUGUUUCUAAUUUGUAUGCAUUUGAUCAAAUUUUCAUUUGCAUUGAGCUAUUUUUUUUCUUUCUCAUGUAAUGUUUGACAUUACCAUUUCUUUCUUUAAUGAAAUACUAAUAUUUAAUAAAAUAUAUUACAUCCU